rnacentral:tRNA from 2 species
GGAUCCGUGGCGCAAUGGUAGCGUGUCUGACUCCAGAUCAGAAGGUUGCGUGUUCGAUUUACGUCGGGUUCA